GUGAAGUUUUCCUACCCUCGG
rnacentral:miRNA from 1 species